rnacentral:misc_RNA from 1 species
CUUCUGUAUAUAUAUCUCAUUUUAUAUAUAUAUAUACAUUAAAUGAAUAAUAUAUCAAAUUUCUUUGACGAGAGUUUCCCACUGCUGCUUAUCAACUUAAUUUCAUUUAAUCCCGGGAAAAAACAAAUACAACCCGGUAUUUAUUAGGAUGAUGACUACAAAUGCAUUAAAUAUUACAUUGAAAUUCUUCUCAGGGAUCGGACAUCAGUCACCGGAGGGCGCUGGAGUUGCCGGUUCGUUAAUCAAGCUACCAAGCCGGGGCCUUAGUUUGUCUUUCCAUAUUUCUUGGCUUGGUAUCGGAUUCAUCUCCUUUCCCUUCACCUCUACCACAACUAAUUGCUCCGUUAACUUGUACAUUUUUAUGGCCAUGACAAAAGCACCAUCAAAUCCUUCCCGUUUCGCUCCCCAAUCCCUGUUCAUCGUCACUUUAACGUUCUCAGUCCUUGCAAUCUCUUCCACUCUCUCUAUUAUCUUCGGCGGGGACUCGGAAGACAUGAAACGUUCACUGCAGGCCGAAAUAUCGUGGUUAUUGAACAGAGGGGAUAAAUCAAAACCCGCAGAGAAGGAGAUUAUGUGAAAAGCAUCCUGGCUCUUGUGAACGUCUUCUUGCACCAAUCCUCCAAGUGAAACUUUAUCCCUUUGUAAUCCUUUUUGAACCAUAAGUCCUGGAUAAUCUCAUCGACGGUUAUCUAGUCUCGGGAUUUGUGUCGAGGAGCCGAGACGAGAAACGCCGUAGGUCCGGAGACGUCCAUUUCGGGAAUUUGAACUGACCUCUAUAAAUCUUCCUAUACAUAGCCAUAAGGUUAGUAUCAUUGAAAGGCAAAUAACCGGCGAUGAGAACAUAUAAGGUGACGCCACUGACCAAACAUCAACCUUAGCACCAUCGUAGCCUUUCUUACAGAGAAUCUCGGGUGCAACGUAAGCUGGAGUACAACAUAAGGUAUGGAGUAGGCCGUCAGAUUGGAUCUGAUCCUUGACGGCGCUGAGACCGAAGUCGGUAAUUUUGAGGUCCCAAUUAUCGUCGAGGAGGAGAUUCUGGGGUUUCAAAUCGCGAUGAAACACGCCUCGGGCGUGACAAUGUCCUAUAAAGCCUCCCUUCAUGACCUUCUGCUUGCUGACGGCCUUAAUGGCUACGCUCUGGCCGGUACUAACAUUUCUGGCAUGGUAAUAUUGUGGCAUGUGCCCAACAAAAACAUCAUCUCUUUCAGAGAAUGAUGUGUGGAUUGAAGAAAAGAUGGAGAAGUUAAACUAGAAUCCUG